CCACCGAACCGACCUCUUCUUCGAGCGUGAGCCGCUCCUCUCCCUGAAGCCCUCGUACGCACUAGGGUUUCGUGCGCCGCCGCCGCCGGUCCUCUCCAACACUGCGACGGGCUUCAUGGCCUACUUCGGCCUCGGGCCUUAAUGCUUCCUCUGCUUCUGCGUCGACCGGCUAUUCAGCGAGGAGGACGUACAUCAGGCAGCGGGUGACGCGCGGUGGCUGCGCAAAUUCCUCUGUGGCGGAGAUCUCCAGGAUGGGUGCUUGUCUUCUCGGAAGAAGGAGAUGAUGAAGGAUGCAGAGAAGGAAGGCAACGUGGAAGGCAACGUGGUGUGUUCUUGAUGAUGAUCGAAGAAGAUCUGCUGGCUGCUGUUCAAGGGACGAUAGCCAAAGAAGAAGAAGAUGAUUGCUAUGUUCUGCUGGACCAGGAUUCUGGAAGACCACGAAGAGGAAUAAGACAAGCAGGCACAUGUGUAUCAUCACGAGCAGCAAAACGAAGAGUAAACCCAAGAAUAUCAAGGGGGGAUUAUGUUGGCUGCCGUGGAGGACGAGAUGCAAGGGUGCUCGGGCAGCGGCUGCAGCAGCGUGACAGAUCAAGCGAGCUAGGUUGUGCCAUCUCUGGUCCUCUCUCUUCAAACGGUCGACACCGGGUGCUUACGAUCGACGUGACGGCGGCGGUGCAAGAGCAUGGCGUAGCUGGUCUGAGAGUGGCGAUGGACUCACUGCCCGCUGCUACUAUAUCAUCCAAAGUAGUGGCAGGGUGCAGCAGCACGAAUGGCUCAGCCUCUACCUUGUUCAUCCCAUUACCACGGAGGCGCUUUAAUUACUGACACAUCUGUUCUUAUUAUGCAACUGCAGGUGAUUUCUCAUCUUUCAACUCGGUCUAUUUUACUCGUCAUACAUGGAGAGAGUUUAUACAAUGUUAGAUGAAGAGUUGGCGGUGCCACGGUGCCAAGAAUUGCCUGAGAUGGUUAGUGAUAGUGAAAGUUAUGAUGACAGAUAAUUACUCCUCCAAGAAGAAGAAUCAGAAGAGCUGGCUAUUUGUGGGCCUUUUUCGUCAGUGGUAAGGUGACAUGGGUCGCGUCUGUCGGUGGCUGAGGAAAGGCGGUUCGAGCCUGACGUGGUCGUCGAUGAGGAGCUUCUGGAUGUCACCGGCGCCGGCAAUCCUCGAGGGCAAAGGCUGUGACAAGCGGCGGCGGCGGUGCUUGGGCAGCAACAAUCUGAGCAUGAUGAGGUCGAAGGCGUCGUGGUGGUGCAUUGGAGCUGGAGGAGGCGGCGGGCCAGUGUUGUUUGUGCUCAAGACGUACGAGAUGGUGGACAACCCAUCGACGGAAGCAGCGGUCUGGUGGAGUGACGCGUUGGACACAGCCUUCAUGGUUUGGUGCUCGCUGGAGUUUGCAUCUUCAAGCACAGAAAUUUCUCCAGUUUCAUCCAUGAGCUCCCCCCCACCCCCUCUCUUACUGAAUCCCUACGCACCCCAAGCAAUCUCGGUCAAGUUUGUGCGGAUUUGGGGUUUAAGAUCUGUGCAUGUGCGGGGAAUUUAUUAGUAGGAGUUGGGCUGGGUUUUAUUUGUCAGAUUUACUGGAGAAUUUGGCAUUAGAUUUUGAUCUUGGGUGGGGGCGAGGGUCCUCAAAUGUCUACACUGUUGUGGUGAAAUGCUACUCCAUUUUUUACUAAAAAUCAUUUAGGAUGCUGAUUUUCUUAGUUGGUCUUGAUUGCAGUUAAAUGCUAAAAAUCAGGACUCGGUAUGGUGCCAAAAUAUGUUCAUAAUUUUGUGCACUGGGCUGGUGGGAUGCUAUGUGAAUCACUACAUUCUUACUCCUUUGGUUCGCCGGAGGUUCGGAUUGCAUUGACCACAUUCAGAUUUUUCCUAGAGAUUCGGGCUGGCAACCAAAGAUGUCCAGCCUUGAUGGCUUGUGAUAUAUUAUCAUGUUUAGGAUAGACGAAAAUGAGAUUGCAAAGGAACGAAGAGCUCAAGAUUUUUCUUUUGUUCAUGAAGAUGCAUAAUCAAGAGGAACCAUGAGGAUUCCUAAGAACACUUGAGGUGCUGCAACAUCACUUAACCUUUUCAUGUUACUCUAGAUGAUUUAUCAUCCUUGCUUGCCCCUCCCGACAAGGAUUCAUAUCAAGAGUUCAAUACUUGUUGGGGGUUCCUCGCAAUGCAUGCACAGAGAGGCAUAACUUCUUUGCUUCCCCCACCAUCUCUGCAAUAAUAUGGCGUGCAUGUGCAAAAAGAAGGAUCUGAUGGUCUACUAAGGGCUUAUAGGAAUGAAGAGCGGCUUAUCUUCUUUACGUGUUUAUCUGGUAAAUAUUCAUCUGUCAGGCAAUACAAAUCGUAUGGUUACAAGUUCAACAACAACAUGGGGAGCGCUGGCGUGGUAGUCCGGCGGUAGAGGGAUGGCUGGGCAGCAGCCUACCGAGGAGUUGGAGGGAGGGCUUGAUUGGACCACAUCUGUCCACGAGGGCUCGUUGGUUGGCUAAUCAAGAAGGGGGGAGGGGCUGGGUGUAUCUGCGUUGUGCGGUUCCGGCUGGUGUGCUCCUCGGCGGCGUCCUGGACAGGUGGUUGUGUGGGCGGCUGCGUGUGUACGUGUGCUUCGGCGGUGCGUGGUGAGGUAGCAGGGUGGCCAGCGCGGUGCCUUGGUGAGCAGGUGGUUAGAUCCAGACGGAUUUGGCCAUGGUGGCUCGACGUUGGACUUGCUGGUGCAUGUUGUGCGGAGCUCGAGAGGUUGAUCUGGGCGAAAGCUUGUCUCCGGAGUUUCCAGAGCCGGUGAUGGCGAAGCUUUCGAGUGUCGUUUCCUUCCUAUGGGCAUCGCUGAGGUAUUCUUAGCCGCAAUUUAUGCCGCUUCGGAGGAAACUCUAGAUUUGUGUGAUCGGACGAUGACGGUGCUUUGGCAUCAUAUCCCUCUCCAGGGUUUCAUCUUUCGAGUAUGCAUUAGCAUGCUGGGCCGAUGGAAGAUGGAAGCAGAAUGCAUUUAUAACAAGGGCACCGGCCACAGGUUUACAACGACUUAUUGGUUGUACUGAUGGAGCAGAGUGCAUAUUUGUGCAGAGUCUGCAAAGAGUAACUGAAAGACUCGACUGAUCAGAUUUGUCAGGAGGGCUUUCUUAUUUAUGUAUCCAAUUUUAUGCAUGCCAGAGGAAGAAGAUCAAGGUAUGUAUAUAUAGCUUGAUUAGACACAAUGGUAAAUUUCUUAUGCUUUUUUGGCUUGAAUCAUCUAUUCUGUUGUGCGUACAUGUACUACGUAGUGUAUUAUUUUUUGGCCUGAAUCAAAAAAUAAUUCAGUCAUUUAACCUUCUCAAAUCCGGAUCAUGUACUACACAGUGUUGUUUCUUUUGCAUAGAAGUAUCACGCACACCUUCCAGUAGGACCUGAAUGAUGUGCAGAAGAUAACAAAACAAGUUUACAAGUGUUACCGAAAUUUCCUUAAGUUCUUUUCUCCUAUGAUUUACUGAAUGCAUCUUUGUGUUCUCUAAUUGUGUAAAAAAUGGCAUCUUUGUAAUGUACUUUUAUUUAACUCAGCUCAUACUCCGUAUUGUACUUCUAAAAUUUGCCAAGUUUCGGAUUCUGACUCAGAGUGCUUA